AGAGGGAGCAGCCUGUGGCCAGAGCCUAGAGGAGAGAUCAAAGACCCUGGCCGAAGUGAAGCCCAUUCUGCAAGCAACUGGGUUCCCAUGGCAUGUGGUGGCCUUAGAGGAGGUGUUCAGCCUGCCACCGUCGGUGCUUUGGUGCUCUGCCCAGGAGCCGGUGGGAUCCGAGGGGGCCUACAAGGCGGCCGUGGACAGCUUCCUCCAGCAGCAGCAUGUGCUGGGGGCCGGGGGUGGUCCUGGCCCGACUCAAGGGGAGGAACAGCCACCCCAGCCCCCGCUGGACCCCCAGAACCUGGCAAGACCGCCUACCCCUGCCCAGACUGAGGCUCUUUCCCAACUGUUCUGCUCAGUGAGGACACUGACUGCCAAGGAGGAGCUUCUGCAGACCCUGCGGACCCACCUGAUCCUGCACAUGGCCCGAGCCCACGGCUACUCCAAGGUCAUGACUGGGGACAGCUGCACACGCUUGGCUAUCAAGCUC
rnacentral:lncRNA from 1 species